rnacentral:rRNA from 1 species
UACGGAGGGAGCUAGCGUUGUUCGGAAUUACUGGGCGUAAAGCGCACGUAGGCGGCUUGUAAGUUAGAGGUGAAAGCCCGGGGCUCAACUCCGGAACUGCCUUUAAGACUGCAUCGCUUGAAUCCAGGAGAGGUGAGUGGAAGUUCCGAGUGUAGAGGUGAAAUUCGUAGAUAUUCGGAAGGAACACCAGUGGCGAAGGGACGG